rnacentral:lncRNA from 1 species
CCAAGAUUGGACCAAACAACUGUUUUACGGUAACUAUAAAUACAUGUAGAAGAUUAUGUAAUAUGUGUAUUCUAAAUUACAAAUGCAGUGUUAAAUUUCUAGUAUAGAAUGACAGCUAUAUCUUCAAAAGAAGACUAUGAGUAUAUGAUAUGUAUAAAAGGCGGCUCAUUCCAAGUAUAAUGUUAAUUAUUGAAAUCAAGCAAUCAAACACAAAUAGCUGCUGUCGAAAAAGUUCUUUGACUGUAGUAACUGAAUUAUAAAACACUAUAGUUAAUGUCGUUAGAAAGGCAAUUGACUAGACACUUUAAAUUUGGAACGGAACCAAUGAUUGAUCCUUCUAACCUUUCGAUAUGAUGAUAUAGUAGUGGUUGGACUAUACAAAAACAACUAUAAGUUGGUACUUUUAAAAACGAAAAUGUUCAAAGAACAAUAAUUUUGCUAUUCUGAAGUCAUUUUGUUUCAUUUCAAUUCUGUAAAUUCUGUGUGCUACAUUUUUGUAGUUUUUAGAUAACUUACAAUUUUACGAAACGUCGGGGCGUCGGGGCGUCCUCUUGCUAUGCUCCUGAACAUUUUUAAGGGUGUCCUUGCACGGUAACACAUUUAUUUUCAUACAGAUGUGUACUGUCGUUUACUUGUUUGGAAUUAAACAACGAUUAGAUAUUUUCUCUCAUUAGCAUAAAUCUAUUUUCUGACCAUGUAAGUGUUGGUUGUGUGUGUGUGUUUUUUUUGGUAGUCAUGAAAUGGCUUUUUUUCUGACGAAUCUGAAAACGGAAAUGUUUUUUUGUGUCUAAAUCGUCCGCCUUUUUUUAUCAGACACAUACCCGUUACCAUUUAUCGGCUGAAAUAAUAAAAUGCUACUAGGAAAAGAUGUAGAUACCAGGUUGCCAUGCACGUGUUUCGUUUUCAAAUACAAAAGGCCAAAUAAAGAACUAAGUUGAAAAGAAAUUGUAUCAAAUCGACAGGGCAUAAAGAUGAACAAUUAUAUACUCUCACAAACACCCAUUUCUACAAUUUUAAGGAAAAACUAACACACUAUCUGAAAAAGAAGAGAAGAUACCAAGGGUUCAUCCAAAUACCAUGAGUUGACAAAAAACAGACAAUACGCUAGCUGACCAGAAUUAAAUGGAUCAACAACAGUCCAUUAUCACAAAUAAGACAACAUCAAGCAAUACAAACAUAGGGGCUGAACUCAGGUCAGUAGACUAGUACCUACUCCACUACAAGGAUACUCUCCGUGAUACGCAUAUUAAGUCAUAUCCAGUGAACCACUAGUUAAAUUUAAAAUCAUAAGUAUAGUAUUAUCAGUGGUGCUAUGAAAUAAGAGGUGUUCAUGGUACUUACUAUUUCAAAUCAGAUUUUUUAUUUUAAAGUUUUCUGUAUUCUUAUUUGUGUAUAUAGAAUAUAUAGCCUUGAUUUUGAUUUAAUUUGAUUGUUGGUAGACGUUAUAGGUGAUUUCUGAAUGUCAUUCAGCUAUCAUUUCAUAAACCACAAAUAAAACAUUUUUGAAUGAUAAUUUGAUGAUGUUUAACGUUAGUGUGUGGUUGAUGUGCUUAUGUCAGAAAUAAUGAAACUGACAUUUUUGAAAAUGCAUCUGAUAUCCAUGAUUGUACAUACAAUACUCUGUAUAUAGUCAACACGACAAAUUAUUAAUAUACAGUGUUAAAUAUUUUAGCCUAACAGAGACUUGAAAGUUCAUUAACAUAUGUAAUGUAUAUUAAACACGAUUAUUUGUAUUCAUAAUUCAGGAUAUUGAAACACCUUCUAGCCAAUCCUUACUAAACAUCGAAUUAUGAGAUAAAGAUGUAAAAGCUAUGUGUUCAUGAAACGAAAUCAUCCACAUCAUUGCAUAUGACAAGUUUUUAGAACUGUUCACGCCAAGUGAUGAAACAAUAACAACAGGUCACCCUAUACUUACAUAAGGAUUGGAUUGAGGUGUGAUGUCGUUAGUCAACAUUUGUAAACUAAACGAUGCAAGAACACACGUGCUACAAUAGAUUUUUAACUUAUAAGUUACUUAACUUAUGUCUUACUUUCACGAUGCAAAUGUUGUGGUUUCAGCAAGCAAAGCUCCAAAGCAAUACGUCAUAUUCUUUCAUUCGCAUUAUCUGAUUUUGAUGUCGAUCAUUUGCAUAAGAACAGUUGUUUUACAUAUUUAAAGUUAAUUUUAUGUUCUGUGUAAAACUAUGUUUAUAAUGUUCGUAUUACAUUUCAAAGAUUCAUUUUUUUCAUUACAAGCAGCUUUAUAUCUGUAAUUGUAUUGAUCAGGUUAUAUUUGUUUAUAUUUUUAAUUCUAAAUUCGUGGAAAUCUUUUAUUCAUCCUGAAACUAAACAGCUUUAUAGUUUAGAAUGGGAAAAAAACCAAAAAGGAAUAAUUGCGAAUUGAAAUGAAUGUAUACGCAAAAAAUCGUAGAAUAAUACUGUAAAGUUAAAACAUUAACAUAAAUAAAGGCAACAGUAGUAUAUCACUAUUCCAAUAAAGGCAACAGUAGUAUAUCACUAUUCCAAAAUCGAUUGACAGAAAACAAAUCCAGGUUACAUACUAAACAGAGGGAUUCACAUCAACUAUAUAUAUAAAAGAACACAACGAAACAACAAAAACACUUAAGUGCAACAAAAACAAAUGCCAACAUUCAAAGAAACUAUUUGAUAACAAUGUUCCUGACUUGGUACAGGACAUUGCUAUCCACCUUGCCAUGUGAUAAGACAAUUCAAGUUUUGUAAAAAAUUAUAAAACAUUUCAUCGUAUAAAUAAGUAACAUAAUUUCAAAUAAAAUAGAGUAUGGAAAUGGGGAAUAUGACAAAGAGACAACAACCCGACGAAAGAACAGAUCAAUAUUGAUUUUUUAAGAGAACGAAAACAAAAUACCAGAUACCGUAUAAAGUAAGCGAUGACUGAUAAAUACAGACUUGUUCCUUGUUUUAACUCUUUUAUCAGAUGGAUUAUUGAAAUGGAGAACGAUGCAAACACACACAAUAACAGAACAAACCAAUAGAUAUAAUAAACAAAUAUCCCUAAUUAGUAGCGAAAAAAGUUAAGUUUUUCGCAUUACAACUUCGAUGAUAAAAAAGCAUUAGGAAUGAAAACAACAACAUAUGUAUUAGGAAAGGUUUAGCAUUUAAAAUAUAAGGUAUAGGUUAUAAAGACAUAAAGCAUCCACAAACAGUCUAUCAGAUAGCUGGACAGCACUGUGGACAAUGAACCUGUCCUUUGAAUAAUAAUUGUUCACGUAUUUCAAAAAUUUCAAGAUUCUCGGAAAAUCUAUUUAUUCUGUCACAUGAACCAUCUAAUCAUAAAAAAAAACAAAUAUUUAUACGAGGGGCAAUUAAAAUGACUUAUACAAAAAUCAGCAACCUUUGUACACUUUUUAUAUUCCUUUAUAGAAAAUAAGCUCAAUUAAUAAAUCUCUGAUCAUCGAGAUUUGACGAGAUUUUAUUACUCCCCCUGCGUGAGUUUGUGCGAGCUGUUUAAAUUUCAUUACUUAAACAUGUCUAAUACCAUAUAUUUUAUGACAGAUUAUCUACAAGUUUGGCAUAUUUAAACAGAUUGGCAUGUACUGAAAACUCGGCAGCUGUUGCUUAAACAGUUUCUGGUAUGUAAAAUCAGGAUUAAUCCUUUAACUAGCGGCCCAAUAACAACACAGUAAACCAUUACCAUUGUUAAUGCUCUUGUUUAAAUAAUAGCUGCGAAUGAAGUUUUAAUUUUUACAUAUUCCUGCGUUCAAAGGUCUAACUAUAAACUCGUCAGAGAGGUUUGGAUUUGAAAGGCGGGAUUACUUAAUAACAGUUAAAUCAUUGGAUAUUGGCUUAUUCUCGCUUUCAUUGCUCUUCAAAAUAAAAUUCUUCCAUUCAACACUAAUACGUCUUAAAUUAACAUACAAACCCAAAUGGGGAUGAAACAUGUGUUUACAAAAUCCAACAGUUUUCCAUUGAUUAUAUGAUUUAAGGUGUCUAAAGUAGCGUUUACGAGAAUUUGACUAAACCGUGUAUUGUAGUUUAUAUAAAAUUAGGAGACACACCUGUAGGAGAUUAUGGCUACUGACCUCUCGGUAUCGCAAAAUGAGUUUGCACCAAAAGCUAAGGGAGCACAUACUUGGCGACCUUCUUCAGUAGACAAGUAACUGCUUCUUGAUGUACUAAAAUAAAUGACAACUUAAUCUGAUUUAUGCAGCAAAUUUACAUAAGACUUUUGUACUUUCUUGUGACUUGAUUUUAAAUUCUACCUAUACAAUUAUGUAUAUUUGUAAAGUGCAUUUGAUAUAAAACAUAAAGUUUACAUGAGAAAGGGCCAAGUUUUUUAUAUUUCUGUAACGCGUCAUAUGUAGCCUUUAUUUUCUAUCGUCGUUUCGAUCAGUAGAUUUUUGGUAGAUCAUAACAUUGUCUGUUCGUUGUCAACUAAUGGGUUUGAAUUAUCUGUUGGUACCUUUCGCCACUCUUCUACCACCUUAAGUAAGAAUUCACCAUCUUUAGGUAUUGGAUUAUAUCUAUACAAUAUUUCCAGCUUGACAUGACAAAGAUUCAUGCAAUCACUUUUAUUAAAAACGCUGGAAGGUCGAAAAUACUGUCAUCAAAAUAAUGCUGCAAUCCAAUUUCCAUAUUGGCUCCCAUAUAUAUUCUGAGUUCGACAUCAUUUUUCACCAAAGAUUUUGCUUUAACUUAAAAUUAUGCGACCUAUUUGAACUUACUCCUAUUGGAACUUAAUUGAUGACGCAAUGCCGCCAUCUUUCAAUUGCGUCUAGGUAAAAUUCUUCAAUCCAUUCGUUCUGGGACAAACGUUUAUAUUAUAAAAGAGUUCAUAGCAAAUCUGAAGAGUUGAUUCCAUGUACCAAUUCCCUAAGAUUAAAGACAUAAAAGAAAUAAUGUGGUCUUGAAAAGGUUAAUCAAAAUGGAGAUUCAGAACCAAACAUAGAAACUGAACACAUGAUAACAUCUUUGAUAUUGCUGAUGGAAGCUUGAUAUAGUUGCAAGCUAUAAUACUAUAUAAGGCAUAACAUGGGAACAUUAUAAGCUUCUGUCUCUAUAUUUUUACUCUAGCUUUUACUAACUGCUUGAUAGUAUAAAGUGAGGUCUUCUUUGACCCUUGGACCGUGAAGAGAGAAGAAAAAAAUAACGGCCUGAUUUAAGUUAAACUACAACUACUGAGUAACAGGUUCCUAACUUGGUAUAGUGGUGUGUCAGCACAAAAUACGUAAAACAAAAAAAUAUUAAGUGGAAAGACCUUAAUUAUUGGAAUGGACUUGAAUUAGCAAAUUGAUUGGAAGCACAUCAAAAACCAGAACAAAAAAAAAGAAAAAAAGAAAAUACUCAUCGUUCUUGAAAGUUAGCUCAAAUCCACUCACGACUCAUAAAUAAACCUUGUUUCCCUAAAAUAAAAUGUCAGUCAGAUUACGUCCAACGGAUUUAAUGUAAAAACAUAAAAAAAUCACUAUGAGAAAACUUUCAACAGCUGGAUGAAUACUCAUCAGUUUUCAAUCAUAAUUGUAUAUAACAUACAUAUUAUUUGAUUUAGUAAAAUUAGCUUAGAAUAUUACACAUGCAUGUUUAGAUUAUCCAACAAAUUUAUUAAAGUUUCUUUUGAAGGUCCUAAAACGAACUAAGAUGAUCUUUCAAUUGGUUGUAGAUAUUGUUAGAUAAACGACAUGUAAAAGUUGUUGGUCCAAGUAUCACAACAAUGUACCUCUUUUAAAUACACCGAUUUGUCACUAGAAUUUAAAGUAAGAAUUAUUGUUAUUUUAUAUAAACGAACAAAUAAUGAGUUGACACAUAACACACCUGUUCACGUCUUGUAUACAAUAAAAUGUUACGAAGUAUACAAGAUUAUUGUUCAUUUUAACCAAGAUAAGUAUGGAAUUUCACACUUUUUGACAAACCAACACUUCGGAUUGUCAUAAUAAAUAAAUAAAACACGAAGCCUGAGAUGGACACAGCUGAGUAUGGACAUUUUACAUUUUUCUUUUGUCUAAUAAUAAUCGUUUAUAUGCCAGAAAACUUUUGAACUUAGGCGUCAAAAUAAUUGUUUUACAAGAUAAUAUAGGAGUUUGUCAGCAGUGGGAUAAAAAAUGACCCUCAACACCUAAACCAACGUCUCGUUUGUUAAUUGGUAGUAAAUGUGUCAGUCAGAACUGACCUUUCAUAUAUUAUCUUCUUAUUAUACCAGAAGCUAUUUACACGGGAAGUCGCCAAUAAAUUAUAAUUUUAAAGGAUAGUUAUACGGUAUACAGCUGAAGAUAGUACACACAUUAUAAUUUCUAAGAGGAAAAGUAUAUAGAUAGCGCCCAAGAAACAGGAAAAUGCUUCCUGGCGAACUACAUGUACACUUUUAUUUCGUAUAGUUGAAAAUAUAUAUAUAUAUAAAAGAAGCUUUGUAAGUCAUUAGAUGUGAUGAAUCACAUUCUUUUUGAUUGUCAGCAAUGUCAAAAGUGCUACAAGCAAGUUCCUGUGUAACCAUUUAUCAAGUAAAAGCUAUCAUAUCUUGACGCAUACGAACAAAAGAUAAUAGAACGGAGAAAACUAACCAAUAUUAAAAUAUAGGACUGUCAGAGGUUCCUUUGAGCUUCCUUUCUGCGAAUACAAGUAUGAUUUGUAAGGAUUAACACUUUUAUCAUAGAGUUUGUUUUAGGGGUUCAUUUUAUCUUUUUUGUUGUUGUCUAUUUUAACUUUGAAUUUACUUGUUAAUAUUGUGUGUUCCAUCAUUUACCAUGUGUUUGUCUAUAACUAGUUUGUAUCACAAAAAGAGAGUUUAGAUUGCCAACUUCUUUAACCAGGUACAGUCAUGUUCAUGUAUCUGGCUAAGUCGGUUGUCUUAUGUCACAUCUAAAUGUUGUUGUUUUUUUUUUUUAAUUCUGAUGAUUUAAUGGUGAUGGUAGAUCUUUAGAGAUUCUGUGUAAUUUCAUCAAAUCUUUUUUUGGCGUUUAAGCUUGAUACUUUAAAGACACCUGUCUCUUGUUCCAAUCUGUAAGUUGUUCUUUAGAUGCCCUUUUUUUAAGGUUAUUUGAGUCGUUGAGUAGCUGUUUCAUUGACACAUACUCCACAUCUUCUUUUGUUCAUGCAUCACACUUAAUAACAACAUCUAAAACAACAUCACAAAGUUUCUAUCUUUUUUUAAUUUUAGAAACAGUCGUCUCAAUACAAAUGUUUAGAGUACAGUUACUGUAACUUGGAAUAAUACGAAGUCUGUUACAUGAAAAAGAUAAUAUGAAUUACCCAAAAUACAGUACAUUACAGACAGUCACCUCACUAACCACCAACACAAGGUUACGGCAUAUAUUCUGUCAAUGGCAAUCCAGUUUGUAUUACGAAGAUACAUUGACAAUGACAGUACACUUCGCCAAUUUUGAUCUGAAACAAUCGUUUUGAUCUUAACAUCAUCUGCAAAGAUUGCACAAUAAAUUACCAUACACAGCC